rnacentral:misc_RNA from 1 species
AAGUCGUAACAAGGUUUCCGUAGGUGAACCUGCGGAAGGAUCAUCAUAGAAAUUUCUUCAGUAAUUUGGAGUUUUAACAACUCCCGGCAACGGAUCUCUAGGCUCUCC